rnacentral:tRNA from 1 species
AUUUAUUUAGCUUAAUUUAUAAAGCAUUAUAUUGAAAAUAUAAAUAUAAUUUUAAUAUUAAUAAAUA